rnacentral:rRNA from 1 species
AGGGAAUCUUCCGCAAUGGACGAAAGUCUGACGGAGCAACGCCGCGUGAGUGAUGAAGGUUUUCGGAUCGUAAAGCUCUGUUGCCAGGGAAGAACGUCUUCUGGAGUAACUGCCAGGAGAGUGACGGUACCUGAGAAGAAAGCCCCGGCUAACUACGUGCCAGCAGCCGCGGUAAUACGUAGGGGGCAAGCGUUGUCCGGAAUUAUUGGGCGUAAAGCGCGCGCAGGCGGCUGGUUAAGUCUGGUGUUUAAUCCUGGGGCUCAACCCCGGGUCGCACUGGAAACUGGACGGCUUGAGUGCAGAAGAGGAGAGUGGAAUUCCACGUGUAGCGGUGAAAUGCGUAGAGAUGUGGAGGAACACCAGUGGCGAAGGCGACUCUCUGGGCUGUAACUGACGCUGAGGCAUGAAAGCGUGGGGAGCAAAC